rnacentral:lncRNA from 1 species
CUCUGCAUGUCUCGAUGGGGUUUGGCAUCUGCCUCGUAAUGAAUAUGGUGCAUACAGAUGGAGGGGUCAAUUUUUUUUAGAUCGAUAAUGGACCAGCCAAUAGCUUCUUUGUUUUUCUUCAGAACACCAACCAAUUGUGCUUCCUGAUCUGAGGUCAAGUCUAAUGCAAUGAUCACCGGGAGGGUGUUAUAAGGUCCUAGGAAUGCAUACUUGAGUAUGGCCAGAAGUGGCUUUAAUUC